CCCCGUGCUUAACACAUGCAAGUCUAGCGAGACCUUUCCUUCGGGAGAGUGUUCUAGCGGCGAACGGGUGAGUAACACGUGGGCAACCUGCCCCCGGCUCUGGGAUAACUCCAAGAAAUUGGGGCUAAUACCGGAUAUGACCGCUGACCGCAUGGUCUGGUGGUGGAAAGAUUUAUCGGCUGGGGAUGGGCCCGCGGCCUAUCAGCUUGUUGGUGGGGUAGUGGCCUACCAAGGCGACGACGGGUAGCCGGCCUGAGAGGGUGACCGGCCACACUGGGACUGAGACACGGCCCAGACUCCUACGGGAGGCAGCAGUGGGGAAUAUUGCGCAAUGGGCGAAAGCCUGACGCAGCGACGCCGCGUGGGGGAUGACGGCCUUCGGGUUGUAAACCUCUUUCAGCAGGGACGAAGCCGUGAGGUGACGGUACCUGCAGAAGAAGCACCGGCCAACUACGUGCCAGCAGCCGCGGUAAUACGUAGGGUGCAAGCGUUGUCCGGAAUUAUUGGGCGUAAAGAGCUCGUAGGCGGUUUGUUGCGUCGGCUGUGAAAUCCCGAGGCUCAACCUCGGGUCUGCAGUCGAUACGAGCAAACUAGAGUGUUGCAGGGGAGACUGGAAUUCCUGGUGUAGCGGUGAAAUGCGCAGAUAUCAGAGGAACACCGGUGGCGAAGGCGGGUCUCUGGGCAACAACUGACGCUGAGGAGCGAAAGCGUGGGGAGCGAACAGGAUUAGAUACCCUGGUAGUCCACGCCGUAAACGUUGGGCGCUAGGUGUGGGGCUCAUUCCACGAGUUCCGUGCCGCAGCUAACGCAUUAAGCGCCCCGCCUGGGAGU
rnacentral:rRNA from 1 species